rnacentral:tRNA from 1 species
UCGUUCAUUGGCCUGGCCAUUGCCGAGCGCCUGGCGGGCGCUGAGGGCUUGCUGAUGAUUGCCGUGCUGAUCGGCGUGUGCGUGCC